GGGUGGGGGGCAUAUGUAUUUAUACUACAUUUUGACAAUCGACUACAAUUUUACAUCGGACCAUUCCAGCAAUCUGUAUGACAAAAAUGCCAUUUUAAAUACGCGCUGAUGUGCAAAAUACGUGCUCUUAAUGUAUUUUGUUUUUUAUAACACAUUUACAAACUAUUUACAAUGCAAAUGAAGGAACAUUUCAAAUGUUCGGCCUUGAAGCACACAAAAAGAAAACAAUUGCGGAGGUCUCACCGACAGGCUCGCCCUCCUGCACCUCAAACACGGUCUCCUCUUCCUUGCACACGGGCGCAUUGUCGUUCACAUCCUCCACCACAACGUGGA